UAUUGCCAUGUUUUAUUUAAUAUUUUUUAUUUAAUCUUUUAAUUUUUAAAAAAAACCCAUUAACAGUACAUUUUGGUCUAAAAUGGUCCCUCUGCUGAAAUGCUAGGUGCUAGCCGUAAUUCUGGCUUUAAAACCAAAACCCCAAAUAUUUAAUAAAUAAAAAUUAGAAUUAGUUGCCAUUCUACUCCAAACCAGCUAGCCUAGCUGAAGAGAAGAGGGAAGGGGGAAGAGGCCAGAGAAAGGAGGAGGCAGUCAGAUCUUAGACCUGUCGCUACAGGGACAGCUGAAAGAAGUAGCACUAAGAAAGAUCAUCCGAGCAGUCCCCAGUACAGCCCCCACUUUUUGGCAGAGGUAGGGUAAGGGUUAUGUGCACCCUCCUCCUACCCUCAAUUCAUUUGUGUCAUAGAGGGAGAAAGUUAAAAGCUCAGCUUUGGUUUCUGGCCCAAGUUAGGGAGCUUAGAAAGGUUAGCCUUGGUCCAGCUUUGGCAGAAUGAGGCCCACAGAUGGGACAAUAAGGCAGCUGGAGUAAUGGUUCAGUCAUUCUUACGAUGGUUGUUAUUGAGGAUGGGGUGGCCAUUGGCUAGGGGCCGGCUCUUUGCUCCUCCCCCAGCUGCAGCCUCCUCCCCCUCUGAGCUCUCUGUU
ensembl:lncRNA novel transcript, antisense to CERS2